GGAGCUUGCGGCUUAAUUUGACUCAACACGGGAAAACUCACCCGGACCGGACACUAUGAGGAUAGACAGAUUGAUAGCUCUUUCUUGAUUUGGUGAUUAGUGGUGCAUGGCCGUUCUUAGUUCGUGGUAUGAAUUGUCUGGUUAAUUCCGAUAACGAACGAGAUUCUAACCUGCUAAAUAGUCCAUUUGUAAUCCUGUGUAGUUUGUACGCGGUUAACGCAAGUUUUCCACGCACUGCUAUACGAGCAUAUGGUACUUCUUAGAGGGAUUGGUGGAUCAAAACCACACGAGAGAGAGCAAUAACAGGUCUGUGAUGCCCUUAGAUGUUCGGGGCCGCACGCGUGCUACACUGACGGUGGUAGAGAGUUUGGUAUCCUCAGGCGAAAGCUGGGGGCAAACUUUUCAAUUACCGUCGUGCCUGGGAUCGGGGUUUGUAACUAUCCCCCGUGAACCAGGAAUUCCUAGUAAGCACAAUUCAUCAGAU
rnacentral:rRNA from 1 species